CAGUCGCCACGGUAAUACGAAGGGUGCAAGCGUUACUCGGAAUUACUGGGCGUAAAGCGUGCGUAGGUGGUUGUUUAAGUCUGCUGUGAAAGCCCUGGGCUCAACCUGGGAAUUGCAGUGGAUACUGGGCAACUAGAGUAAGGUAGAGGAUAGUGGAAUUUCCGGUGUAGCAGUGAAAUGCGUAGAGAUCGGAAGGAACAUCUGUGGCGAAGGCGACUAUCUGGGCCAUUACUGACACUGAGGCACGAAAGCGUGGGGAGCAAACAGGAUUAGAUACCCCUGUAGUCCCUGUCUCUUAUAC
rnacentral:rRNA from 1 species